rnacentral:piRNA from 1 species
AACCCUUAAGGAAAGCCGUCUG